ACGAGGGGGGCGAGCGUUGUUCGGAAUCACUGGGCGUAAAGAGUGCGUAGGCGGUCGUGAAAGUUAGAAGUGAAAGCCCCAGGCUCAACCUGGGAAUUGCUUUUAAAACUACAUGACUCGAAUUCGGGAGAGGAUAGCGGAAUUCUCAGUGUAGCAGUGAAAUGCGUAGAUAUUGAGAGGAACACCGGUGGCGUAAGCGGCUAUCUGGACCGACAUUGACGCUGAGGCACGAAAGCGUGGGGAUCAAACAGGA
rnacentral:rRNA from 1 species